rnacentral:rRNA from 1 species
UACGUAGGGGGCAAGCGUUGUCCGGAUUUAUUGGGCGUAAAGAGCGUGUAGGCGGCCAGGGAGGUCCGUUGUGAAAACUCGAGGCUCAACCUCGAGACGCCGAUGGAAACCCCCUGGCUAGAGUCCGGAAGAGGAGAGUGGAAUUCCUGGUGUAGCGGUGAAAUGCGCAGAUAUCAGGAAGAACACCCGUGGCUAAGGCGGCUCUCUAGUACGGUACUGACGCUGAGACGCGAAAGCGUGGGGAGCGAACAGA